rnacentral:rRNA from 1 species
UUACUGCGAUGGAGGGACGGAGAAGGCUAGGCCAGCUUGGCGUUGGUUGUCCAAGUUUAAGGUGGUAGGCAGAGAUCUUAGGUAAAUCCGGGGUCUUAAUGCCGAGAGCUGAUGACGAGUCAUCUUUUAGAUGAUGAAGUGGUUGAUGCCAUGCUUCCAGGAAAAGCUUCUAAGCUUCAGGUAACUAGGAACCGUACCCCAAACCGACACAGGUGGUUGGGUAGAGAAUACCAAGGCGCUUGAGAGAACUCGGGU